UACCCUUGAAUAAAAGCCUGUCAAUCUGCUUCUAUAAAGAAUACAGGCAAGAAAACCCUAUGGAGCAGCUCUACUGUGUAACACAUGGCGUUGCCCUGAGUUGGAAUCCACUGGGCUCUGAGAGGUUUUAAGUUGAUACUAGAGCUUCUAAGUACACUGCUGUGUCUGUUCCAGUGAUAAAAUUAUACUUUGUGUAAUAUUUUUGGUUGUUGAUGUACAUUAGAUACUUUCACAAACCGUGGUCCAUGUAAUCUGCUUUCAGUUCACUGACUGCUUUGCAUAGGCCCCCCCACACCCACGCUGGCUGCUCAGAUACUAUAAACAGGGCCUGUGCAAUGGGAGCUGAUCUGCAACAGGCAGGCAGGGGCAGCAAGAUGGUGCCACAGACUCUGGUCCUCCUGUCCCUGCUGCUCUGGGCCUCUGGUACCAGUGGGGACAUCAUAAUGACCCAGUCUCCAGCCUCCCUGGCUGCAUCUCCAGGAGGAAUGGUCACCAUCAACUGCAAGGCCAGCCAGAGUCUUUUUGACAGCUCCGACAAGAAAGACUAUUUAAACUGGUACCAGCAGAAACCAGGACAGGCUCCUAAGCUGCUCAUCUACUUGGCAUCUAACCGGGAUUCUGGGGUCCCUGACCGGUUCAGUGGCAGUGGGUCUGGGACAGACUUCACUCUCACCAUCAGCAACUUCCAGGCUGAAGACGCUGCAGUUUAUUACUGUAUGCAGAGUUAUGAUGAUCCACCCACGGUGCCUCACUCUCGAACAAAAACCUCCUCCCGAGGGCUACAGGCCAGUGAAUCUUCACUGCACCAGCUGCUUCCUUUCUGCUCAGCCCUGAACAUGCACGCUUCCUCUCUCUGCCCCAAGGACUGCAUCUCCUGACGAAUUCCUUGGAGUAUUUGCAGGUACCAGGAGAAACUUAAGGGAUGUGGCUUUUUCUGAGUCCCAUUUUGUGGUACACGAAAGAAAAAUAAUCCUCUAAAAAUCUCUUGUAGACUUUGUCAGGAGUUUUCAUAUCACAGGAACCUGCAUGUUUCACAUGGAUAGAUCACAUGACUGAUUUGGGGUAGUGUCCAGUGUGCUUUACACGCUGAAAGAUCAGUUUUCUCUUCCCUGUGCAUUCUUGACUCUCAAAUAUUCCCAGUUUACUUCCCUGUUUUCCUGGACUUUUUCCUUCCUCUUCUGUUACGCCUCAUAACUCUGGAUCUAACCCAAUACUAAUUUUGGGCCCUUCAUAUUUAAAAUCUCCCUCACAGAAGGGAGUAUUCCUCUCUUACAUUUUCCUUCCAUGGAUCCUGUUUUUCAGCCAAGCCUUCUUGGUCAACAUCAGUGAAGGUGUUUUCCUGCUCUAAGAUCCCAUUUUACUGCCCCUUUCUCCUCUGUCCAUGUUUUUCAGUGUCACUCAUUCUUUCAAAGGCCAGACUCUAACUCACUAAACAUAUCACUCUAGAAACAUGUAAUAGUUUUCCCAUUUCUUUUUUCAUUAUUUGUCAAUUCCUCUUUACAUUAAUCCCUUGGGUGCCCAAGUUUAAUUCAGUGACUGAAGGAAAUCAUGUUUCUUUCUCGUUUUUACUUGCCAUCUUGUGAGUCCCUGAUUCAUGAAAAUUCAGUGCACAAUAUUAUCUGACGGUUCUAAUCCAUAGGGUUUUCACUGGCUGAUUUCUCAGAAGUAGGUCACCAGGCCUUUUUUUCUCGUCCAUAUUAGUCUGCAAGUGCUACUGAAACCUGCUCAGCAUCACAACAACACGUGUAGAGGAAGUAUGGUAAAUGAGGCCUGUGGGUCCCUGAUCAGGUUGAUGCUGAUGACAAACUAAGUAGUGUUUCCAGUCAGUGCAGAAAAGACUCUGGCCCUGCAGCUAAUAGAGACUUGCUCUCCUGGGAGACAGCAGAGAUUCUGGUACCUACUGAGCAGGAUCUGCCCUCUUGAACCUAAAAUGAAUGGCAAACAAAGAUGAUCCAGAGUUACUGUGCAAUCGAGUACAGAAGGAAAAUCAAACCAAAAUAGUCUCUAACUGGAACAAGUGUACAGGCCGAUGUGGCUCAUAGCAUCUAUUUCAUAUCUCACUUCAAAAUGUGGACCUAUCUGAAUAGGAGGGUCCCUCUGGAGAGAAAACUCCAUCUCUAGGAGAUGAGGCUUAUGGGCCAGAUAGAGGAAGUGUGCAUGUUCAGAAGCGUGUGGGAAGGAAGCCACUGGUGAAGUGAAGACUCACAGGCAUCGAGCUCUGGUGAAGAGCUUGUGUUCAAGGCUGAAACACUGUGAGAGCGUCGGCAUAAUGUUGCUAACAGCAAUAAUCUACCACAUCCUCACCCUGGAAGCUGCUGAUUGUGAGUGUGAAGACUGUCCCAGGCCCACUACCACUAAAGCAGUCAGGAAUCUUGGAUGCCUGGUUAAUGUGCAAAGGAGAUAUUCAGCUUAGGAGCCUAUGCUAGUUUCUGCUGACAGUAGGCUAAGAUGCUGCCAACACUCUGGCUGGGCUUGUACUGAUGGUGAUCAUUUCUCCUAGAGACACAGUCAAAGCGACAGGAGAUUGUGUUAUCACGAUGUCCACACUGGCACUUGAAAUCAAACAAGACAAUUACCACACACAUAUAUAUACACACAGCUUUUCAUACGCACAUUAAAAUAUACCAUUUUAAAUGUGCAUUUUAGUGGAAUACACUUCAAACAUAAUUGACCCAUCAUUUACUACUAUGCUCUAAAAUCAUUUUUCAGCUCUAUUUUUUUUUUUUUUAUAAAGAUACUUCU